GCAGGGCAUGGUAGUGCAUGCCUGUAGUCCCAGCUACUUGGGAGGCUGAGGUGGGAAGAUCACUUGAGUCCAGAAGUUCUGGGCUGCAGUGAAUUAUGCUGAUCGGAUGUCCAUAUUAAGUUUGGCAUCAAUAUGGUGACCUCCUGGGAGCAGGGGGCCACCAGGCUGCCUAAGGAGGGAUGAACUGGCCUAGGUGGGAAACAUAGGUCAAGAAUUAAGAUAAACUGUAUAACAUGAAUGGAAAAGUUGGGGUUGGAGAAAAUAUCUCUG
ensembl:misc_RNA Metazoa_SRP Metazoan signal recognition particle RNA